AUUGAACGCUGGCGGCAGGCCUAACACAUGCAAGUCGAACGAGUGGCGGACGGGUGUGUAAUGUCUGGGAAACUGCCCGCUGGAGGGGGAUAACUACUGGAAACGGUAGCUAAUACCGCAUACCAUCCUCUCUGCCCAUAUGGGAUUAGCUUGUUGGUGGGGUAACGGCUCACCAAGGCGACGAUCCCUAGCUGGUCUGAGAGGAUGACCAGCGACACUGGAACUGAGACACGGUCCAGACUCCUACGGGAGGCAGCAGUGGGGAAUAUUGCACAAUGGGCGCAAGCCUGAUGCAGCCAUGCCGCGUGUAUGAAGAAGGCCUUCGGGUUGUAAAGUACUUUCAGCGAGGAGGCGUGAAACGAAGAAGAAGCACAGGCUAACUCCGUGCCAGCAGCCGCGGUAAUAG
rnacentral:rRNA from 1 species